rnacentral:lncRNA from 1 species
GACCAUCAGUAUUGCUGUGUUCUAGUAUAAAGGCAUAAGGGUGGAAUCAAGAGAGCAGUUUGAUAGUAGCUAAAGCUGAAACUUCUCUGAUAAUCCUUUCAAACUAAUAUUUUAAAAAGGCCUCAAAAUGACAUGAGUCAAAAACCAAAAGCAAGACAGAGUGAAGGACUCUCUUGUUGAACUCAACUUAAAAGGUGACUUCUUUGAGCCUCAACUCUUUGCAUCUCUUCAUCUGGAAAAUAAGAGAAAAUACAAGAGCACUUCUGCUUGCCUCACAGGAUUUUUAUGAGGACCAGUAAUUAUAAUGUGGAGCAAGGUUGGAGGAGUGAACUACAACUGCUCUGUCACCAAAAAAUCUUCUGAGACAAAUAUUAAAAUGUCACCACAAAACAAAUACAGGAGUGAAAGAACCAGCAAAGAGACAGAUCAAAACAAAUUUCAAGAAAAGAAAAUAACCAAAAGCUCUCCAUUGUGGCUCCAAGAACCUAGAGCAUGUGCAGUGGCCACACUCCGAUAAAGCCAUCUCUGCAGACCAACUAAACCAGGCUGAGGAUGAUCAGCAGGUUCUUAUCCCACUGUAAAUUAG